CUACGGGUGGCUCCAGUGAGGAAUAUUGCACAAUGGGGGGAACCCUGAUGCAGCAACGCCGCGUGGAGGAUGACGCAUUUCGGUGUGUAAACUCCUUUUAUAUGUCAAGAAAAUGACGGUAGCAUAUGAAUAAGCACCGGCUAACUCCGUGCCAGCAGCCGCGGUAAUACGGAGGGUGCAAGCGUUACUCGGAAUCACUGGGCGUAAAGGACGCGUAGGCGGGUUGGAAAGUCAGGUGUGAAAUCCUACAGCUUAACUGUAGAACUGCACUUGAAACUUCUAAUCUAGAGUAUGGGAGGGGGGGAUGGAAUUAGUGGUGUAGGGGUAAAAUCCGUAGAUAUCACUAGGAAUACCUAAAGCGAAGGCGAUCUCCUGGAACAUUACUGACGCUAAGGCGUGAAAGCGUGGGGAGCAAACAGGAUUAGAUACCCGUGAGUC
rnacentral:rRNA from 1 species